rnacentral:rRNA from 1 species
UACGAAGGGGGCUAGCGUUGUUCGGAAUUACUGGGCGUAACGCGUGCGCAGGCGGCUUCUCAAGUCAGGGGUGAAAGCCCAGAGCUCAACUCUGGAAUUGCCUUUGAGACUGAGUGGCUUGAGUACGAGAGAGGUGAGUGGAAUUCCCAGUGUAGAGGUGAAAUUCGUAGAUAUUGGGAAGAACACCGGUGGCGAAGGCGGCUCACUGGCUCGUAACUGACGCUCAUGCACGACAGCGUGGGGAUCAAACAGG